AUGACCUCCGCCGUCGCGAGUAGCCUGGUCCCUGCCGCAGCAGCAGCCGCGCCCGCUGUGUCCACCUAUGGGUGUCGCGCCUCGUUCGGCCGUGAUGCGCCUGAGGAGACGCCGGCUGUAGUGUCUUCUGCUUCGCCCGUGCACCCCGCCGUGGCCGCGCCCGCGAUCUCCAAGGACUUCAUCGACUUCGAGUUCAGCCUCGGCGGCGGCGGCUGCACCACCAGCAUGCUCCCCGCGGACGAGCUCUUCGCCGACGGGAAGCUGCUCCCGCUCCGCCGGGCCGCUGCCGCUGCCGCUGCCGCGCCUGAGCCGGAUGCUGCCGCGGCGGCGGCACCACCGCCGCGGCUGGAGGCAAUGCCGGCGUCUCCGGAGCCGAUGAGGCCGAUCCGCGGCGGCGCGGCGGCUGGCGCUGCGGACCAGUACGUGUUCUCCCCCAAGGCGCCCAGCUGCUCAAGCCGGUGGCGCGAGCUGCUCGGGCUCAAGAGGGCGGCCGCCGCGCAGAGCCCGAGGACGCCCUCCUCGCACUCGCAGCCUCAGUCGCCAGCGGCCGCAUUGGCGAAGACUCCCGGGAGAACGACGACGACGACGGCGGGCUCGUCGGCGGCGAGGUCGCUCAAGUUCCUCCUCCAGCGGAGCAACGGCGGGCGGGCGUCCACGGGCACGGCGUCGGACCUCGCGUCGGCGCCGCUCCUCCGCGACAGCUCCGACUCGGAGGCCUCGCUCUCGCUCGCCUCCUCCCGCUUCUCGCACUCCUCCUCGUCCUCCUCCUCCGGCCACGAUCACGACGACGUCAACCCGCGCUUCUCCCUCGACUCCGCCGCCGACCCCAACCCUCCGCGCCUCCGCCUCGUCCGCUCCUCGCACCGCCACUCCACCUCCAGCCGCGCGGCCCACAGCCCCGCGCGCCGCCGGCCGUCGCCGCCCAGGCAGGACGCGUCGAGGUGCCUCUCCGUGGACUCCCCGCGCAUGAACUCCUCGGGCAAGAUCGUGUUCCAGCAGGGGCUGGAGCGCAGCUGCAGCUCCCCGUGCAGCCUCCACGCCGCCGCCAGGUCCCGGUCCAUGGCCCGCGCCGUGGACCGGUCCUACUCGUCCGGCGUCCGCGUGGCGCCCGUGGUGCUCAACGUGCCGGUCUGCUCGCGGCCGGUGUUCGGCUUCUUCAAGGACAAGAAGGAGUCGGCGGCCAGCAAGGACUCAUCCUCAGCGAGGUCGUCGUCCCGGUCGUCGACCCUGGGCCGGAAGCAGACGCCGACGCCGACGCCGCAGCGGUGGAGCGGCGAGCUGCCGAGGCCCUGCGGGUGA
rnacentral:rRNA from 1 species